rnacentral:lncRNA from 1 species
GUCAGGAUCUGUCCUGUGGACACAACAGCUAGGGUAAAAUCUUUAUCAUUCAACUACUUAUGUGAAUUUUUCUAGGUUUUAACCUACAGUAAUAUUUCUCCCCAAACAUUCCAAACUCUGUAAUAGUAAGCUGUGACUGCUAGACCGUGAGCUGGGAGGGAGCGAUACUGUUGGUGAUUGUCUUGAGCACAUCCCUAGCACAUAACCCACAAGAGGCCCUAGUAUGCAGAUGAGGAUGUGACAGUGAUUUUGGAGUUGCCUUCAACUUUGGGGGAACAGAAGAAACUGAAACACAAAACAAACUUAGAGAAGCUGAAAGAAGCUAAAGUAUUUAAAAACAUAUUAAAUGGGAAUCACUUCUUACCUUGAAAUGUUCUCAAAUGUCAUAGCACAAGAGAACCGCGGUGGCAUUGUGAAUAUAAGACCAAAAGAAGAUGGCAGCAACAGACCAUGGAACACGUCUGUACUGUUUUCCAGUCUCCACGGCCACCACCUGCCUCCACAGGCACCACCUAAGGAUUCUCAGAGCUGCAGGAAUGAGAGUUUUUUCAACUUUUAUCCUCAUGGUGACUCCCCAUGCAGUUUCUUGAGGGCUGUGGUAAACCAUUUCUCUGUAAUAAAAAUACCCAUGAUACUCUUUUCUCUACUGCCUCUUUGAAAUGUAAGAUGGCAGUAUUUAAAAAAAAAAGAUGGCAGUAUUAAAAUUGCUUAUAUUGAAUGUACUGUCAUUUCCAAAAUUCUUCACAUGGUCA